CCUCCCGCACACGACACCCCACCUCCCGCCCCACCAAUCCCGUCAUGCCCCAUCUUCGGCGGCGGCUACCCCAGCACACUCCAGGCCCGGCGACCCGCAACCCCGGCGCGUCGCAUCCCCGAGGACCUGCAACCCCGGCACACUCCAUCCCCGAUGACCCGCAACCCCGGCGCGCCGCAUCCCCAGCGACCUGCAACCUCGGCGCGCCGCAUCCCCGGCGACCCCUAGCCCCCGCGCGCCCCAUCCCCGGCGACCCCAACCCCAGUGCCUCCGAUCCCCACCUACCACCAUCACGCCUUCGGUCCGGCGAGACCAGCACUGCCCUCGACUCUACAACACAUCUCCGCUCCCAUCGCAUGUCAAUUUAGCGCCGCAGGCCUCCCUCCUUCUGUUAUUCCUCCCAGCCCCCUCAUCUCUUCGAGGUCCUCCGCUCGCUGCCUCGUACUUGACCUUCCCGCUCCACCACCCCUGCACUGCCGCCCCCUCCUGCUGUCCUCACCCACAAGCUCGGUCCCUUGACAUAAUUUGUUGGAUCCUACCGGUGCUGCUUCUCUGACGAGGUCAUCGUGUUGCAUAUGCGCUAGCAAACAACAUCGUCUAUGGUUUUGUUUCCCUUAACACUCGAGACGGCAUGCUCCCCUUGGCUUCAACUGCACUACGGGCUUGCUCCACUUGUCUUCCACAGCGCCACCGGCAGACAAGCCUAGAUGCCGUUGUCCGAACCGCCGCACCACCUAGCCGCAACGCCCCUCCAGCCACCAUCCAGCGGCGCGUGGUACUCCAAACACGUCCUGUGGAUGCCCCCUCCUCUUGCCUACUCCAUGCGAAGCGCCAGACCGUAUCCCUUCUGCCCGUCCGUCCAGGUAUGGUACUCACACCAGUUCAAGUAGUGAUGUUGCGACAAGUACAGCUCCUCCCCUGUCAAGCUUAGUGAGCCAAAAAAGAGCAUCUUGAUGGAUGAUUGCUAGCUCGCUUCAUCAUCGGCUGAAAUGCGUAUGUGUAUGACUCAUGCUAUGCUUAGCAAGUUGCUGCCGGAUGCCUAUUCAAUUCUCUACUGGUUUGAUGUCUAAAACCUUUUGUACAGUUUGUGCUUUUGCUUUUUGGAUGCUUUUUUUUCGAAAUGAAAAUUACAGUUGAGGGAAGAUUGAGGUUUAAAGUUCAGAGACGUUUUGAAUAAAAGUUUUGAUAGUGUAGUAGCAGAAAAACAUAGGGCAGGUAUUGUAGUUUUGAAAUUUUGGAUGUGUAUGUCAAUUUUCAGUCAAGUUGCUUUUCAGGUCAAAAUGAUGUACCUUUAGUCGCUAUAUUUCUCAGUUCAUGUGCAACCAUUGGAGGAGUUCAAAAAAUCAGAACUCGUACAUUUCCAAAAAAUUCUGUAAGUUUCAUGUGUGCUGCUACAAAUCUGAAAUAUUUUUCCAAUCAUACUAGUACUGAUGCAAACACCUAAAAAAGUUAAAGAAAAAUUCUGUAAGUUUGGUGUGUGUGCUGCUACAAAUCGAAACUUCUUGUCUAGUCAUUCUAGUACUGAUGAAGAUCGAGCUGACUGAAAUAAUGUAGUGCUACCAGAUAAACUCAAAACCAAGACCACUACUAGUUCAAAACAAAAAACACGCCCAACCCUCUUAGUAGAAAAAGAAGUUCAAAUUUUAUGUGUAAUGGGUCACCGUAACUCAUGCCACUCGAUUGGUCUGUUAUCCUUCCAACUAGUCAUAGCAGUAAAUGAUGAAUACAAGUAGAUGAUUGUGGUGUUUAGUAAAAAUUCCUUCAAGUACAAAUGCAAUCGAACGCAAGUUCAGCAACAUCGUCUCAGAAGGCUUGCAAAUAUCAUCACGAGGAAUUCAGAUUUUAAAAAGGUUCAUAUAAGAAACCACAUGAAAAUACAGAGAACAAAAAAAGAUUCAAAGAGUAUGAAUGCUCCUGACAGGACUACAAGUCUUUGUGUACAAAUAUUAAUGCAGGGGAGCGAAAAGUUAAUAGCAUUUCUGCCUGUCGGUGUUUGUACUUCUGCCUGAAAGACAAAUAUUGUGUUCCUAGCUCCAGUUUGUCGGAAUAAGUUUCUUUUCCUAUAUAUAUAAUUUUUCUAGUUGCAUAACUACAUGUGCCACUCUAGAUGAAACUUUUGAAACCUCCAAUGGCACUUCUAAAUCUAAAACCUGCAUGUUUCCGUGUACAGUUGAAACUGCAGUAAUUUUGGUGUGCGGGUGUUUGAAAAAAACACCUAAUACACAUUUCUUGUUGAAAGUCGGUGUCUUUUCCUGAUUGUCUCUGCUUACGGAAAUGAAAAUUAUUUGUUACAGGUUUCCUUUUUAUCCAAUUUGUGCCGCAUGUUCACUGAAAAAGUUUGGAUCCUGACCAGAUUAUUCUCAAGAAUUUUUUUUGACUUGGAUAUAGAAAAAGAAAAUGAAGAGAAUGAUCACCAUCUCAUUUGCCUCGAUUUACUAUGAAGAACACAUGUGACAGCAAGUCCAGGUAUUACUACAUGUGGAGUACGAAAAUUACUUUUACUUAUACUAGCCAUAGGAACUUAAUUCUUGAAUGGUUUCAAACUUGUAAUGUUCUUAUCAAAAUUUCUCUUUUGAUUUUUCUAUAGAUCUUCCUCUGGCUACGUUGUCUAUACUUAAGAAAAAUGGAUUUAUAUAUUUUGCAUAGUCGAUACUUAAGAAAAUAUAAGUUCAAAUCUUCAAACUUUAAUCAGUUCAAGUACAUAAGGAACGUAAGACGACCAUGCAAAAACAGCAAUAGCGUAGGAAAAAAGUUCAUUUUUCAAACUUAAAAAGGAUCAAAAAACUUUGCUCAAAAUUAUAUGACAGUUCACUAUGUAUGAAAAACUAAACAAAAAAAUGGUAGUACGCUAUGCAAAGAAAAGGUCUCACACAAGUUCAUUUCUAAUAAAUUCAUAAGUUCAAACUCAUGAGGCGGGGAGGUUCGUUGAACAAUUAUUAAAAAAAUAAAAACUAUACUUAUAGAAAAUAGUUCAAUAUUUUAUUCUAUGGUAGUCAAGAAAAACAGAAAAAAGAGGUUCACCGUGUGAUGAACAAUAGUCCCAACAAGUGUGCUAGAGAAGCAAAAAAUUUAUAACAUAGCCGAUGCUAUUUUUCAUCCAAUUUCUGAAGAAAACUGAAGUUGAUCAGAGUAACUAAGGAAUAAUCUGUUAGUUCUCGAGUAUGUGUAAUGCUGCCAUUUUACUGUGCAUUUGAUUCCAUCGUGAUGGAUGUAUUACAAGAUAUGAUUGUAUGAUUAUGUUGAGUAAAAAUGCCAUUUGCUGUAACAUUUUCUGUCAGCUCCUGUCAGGUUAUACAUGUAUUUGAGGAUCCUUCUAUGUAGUAAGUUCAUAGUCGAGAAGUCAGGGACUUCGUAAAGAACGUGAACACCAAAAAACCAUUAAAAACCUAAACCUUAUCUUAGGGGAGUUCAAGAAGUUCAUGGCUAGCUAUCCGUGUUGUGUAUUCUUAUCAGUUCAUAAUCAAGAAGAUAUGUAUUCUUAUCAGUUUGUUUAUCUAGCCGGUCAUGCUGUGUAUUCGGGUCAGUUCGUGUGUGUAUGUGUUGCCCUCGCGGUGUAUGGGAGGCCGCCCAUGAGGAAGUCGCUGAUCUGGUCGAGGCAUGAUGUUAUUCUCUAUUUCUGGUAGCACAACAUUUAAAAGUUUGAACACCAAACCCUGGUAAGUUCUUCUUGACAAAAACUCAUCUCUCAUAUUUGUUCCCUUUUUAGUAGGUCGAAGUUAAAACAAGAUGCACAAGUUCAUCUUUUGUAUUCUUUUCUGUUCAUCUACUUCUUGAUGGUGAGUCCGAUUUCCUUUGUGUUUCCAUCUUCUCCAUAUAGCACACACAAGUGGAACGAGCACUUUGGCAACGCAAAAAAUGAAAAUGAAAUGCAGGUAUUCAUCGCAUGAGUCCGUUCAACGGGGGCUUCCGUGAUGAUCCGCUACUGGUGGCCGCCUCGCCGUGGUUGAGUUCGGCGUCGUCGCAUGUGUCCCUUGCUACUGUGGCCAGUCUCCACGUACACCAUGGUGACUGGCAGCCGUCCAAGUGGAAUGGGAACAUCAGUUCAAGCAGGACUAGUUCGUAUAAACUGGCUGGUUUACUUUAAGUUUCCACCGUUUAAGUUUUGUUCAAUUUCCAAUUUAGGUUCAGUUCAUAGGAGCACUUAAAAACCAAUUAGUUUGUUGUAUUCCAUGAACUUCUAGUAUCCUAAUUGAUGUGGUUGUGACAUUAACUUUGUUGCUAUAGUUGCUAUAGCAGAAACAGUACAAAACUCUUUUUAGGUUUCUUUCUGAACUUAUAAUGUUUAUUGUACAGGAA